rnacentral:rRNA from 1 species
UACGGAGGGUGCAAGCGUUAUCCGGAUUCACUGGGUUUAAAGGGUGUGUAGGCGGGUAUUUAAGUCAGUGGUGAAAUCUCCAGGCUCAACCUGGAAACUGCCAUUGAUACUAUUUACCUUGAAUUCUGUUGAGGUGGGCGGAAUACAUCAUGUAGCGGUGAAAUGCUUAGAUAUGAUGUAGAACACCAAUUGCGAAGGCAGCUCACUAAACAGACAUUGACGCUGAGGCACGAAAGCGUGGGGAUCAAACAGG